GUAACGAGCGACCCAACCCGUACAUUCAGUUGCCAUCGGGUAAUGCCGGGCACUCUGGAAGGACUGCCAUCGACAAGAUGGAGGAAGGUGGGGAUGACGUCAAGUCAUCAUGGCCCUUAUGUCCAGGGCGACACACGUGCUACAAUGGCCGGCACAACGGGAAGCGAGUUCGCGAGGACGAGCGGAUCCCUCGAAAGCCGGUCGCAGUUCGGAUUGAAGUCUGCAACUCGACUUCAUGAAGCUGGAAUCGCUAGUAAUCGUGGAUCAGCCAAGCCGCGGUGAAUACGUUCCCGGGCCUU
rnacentral:rRNA from 1 species